rnacentral:rRNA from 1 species
UACGGAGGGUGCAAGCGUUAAUCGGAUUUAUUGGGCGUAAAGGGCGCGUAGGCGGGAUUGCAAGUCAGAUGUGAAAUCCUGGAGCUUAACUCCAGAACAGCAUCUGAAACUACAAUUCUAGAGGAUAGACGGGGAAAACGGAAUUCCACAAGUAGCGGUGAAAUGCGUAGAUAUGUGGAAGAACACCGGUGGCGAAGGCGGUUUUCUAGUUUAUUCCUGACGCUAAAGCGCGAAAGCUAGGGGAGCAAACAGG